CUGAUGAAAAGUUUACAUAGAAAAAGGAAAAUAUGUUUCUUUCAUGUUUAGAAAUUUGUGGACGAGGAGAAAUCCAUUUCUUUCUGUGGACAUUUUAAAAUUUAGGCUGUAAGUGCUCAUUGAAAGAUAACUUUGGUUUAAUCUUAACCAGAGGCAAGGAUUUGUGAUUUUUCAAGAGUGUUUCCUUUCCCACCCUGUGCCUGGCUGAGCAUUUCUGUCCAUUUCCAUGGGAAGACUGCAUUGUGUUCCUUUAAGGGAAAUGAUGUUUCGCUGGAAAAGGGAGGCUGUGUCUAUUUUACUUCUUUCCCUAGGACAUGAGUGAGUCGCCAGACAUGAAGGCUUUGCCUGUGAAUGUGCUGCCUCUCUCUGGGAUGGGCAGAGCUGAAGACCAACAGUAAUUGCUCCAGCUGGUAUCUGCAUCUGGUGGAUUUUGGAAGCUUACUCUCCCAUGUCCUCAGCACUAUUCUGCUAUUCCUGGGUAUGGCAUCUCCAUACCAAUCUGAAAACAUAAGAGAGCUCGAAGAAAAGCAUAGACUCAGAUGCAAUAAUCACUUGGGGUAAAUAUUCUAAACAUUUUUUUUGAACCAGCCAUUGUUUAAUCACCAUGAAAUAUGGUCACUUAUCUCCAAAGGGAAAUAUUUAGAAUACAAACCUCUCUUGCUGUCACCUGGCAUACAAGGAAAUGCAGUGAUGUUUCCAUUCAAGAAGUGCCUAGAUCAAGCCUUUCCUGAACAACAGGAAAUGGAAUCUUGACACCCUGUUACACCUUAGACCAUCACACUCUCUUGCAACUCUGAAGAGGAAAAGGAAGAUUUAAACUUUAAGACAUUUAUUUAUAGCAUUUGAAUUAUAAAUGUGAGUUAUUUAAAAAGACAUUUUUAAAAAUGUACAGAAAAGAAAAGUAACUAAGUAAAAUAACAAAAUCUCCUUAACCUCAUGACUCUUGCCUUAAACAAACAAUAAAUACAGUUUUAAUGGAAGCCUGGCUCAAUUGAAUUGUAUGUUUACAGUUCUCUGAGUGAACAGCCUUGGGUAGCCACCAUCCAGAGCAGUGGAGACAUCACCAGUCCCAGAAGUCCCUGAUGUCCCUUCCAGUCACGACUCUGUCCCCUCGCCUAGGACAUACAUGUAGAUCAACAUGGAAGGAGUAGCCCUUGACCAUCAGUGUAUGACUCCAUUGCAUAGUGCUUGCUGCAGAAUUGCCUUGCCUGUCAGAUGACACAGCCAGUGCUGAG
rnacentral:lncRNA from 1 species